GUCUUUGUUUCGAAGGACAAGGGUUCAGUGCGGCUGUUCUCAUAUUAAUCAAUAAGUGUAUGGUUUAUAUAUUAACCUAUAAAUUUAUGCUGAGAUCAGCUGGGAAUUUUGUACAUAUGGCAUCAUGCUAAGUUAAAAAAAUGUAACAAAGACAAGAGGCUGGCCUUAACUCUACUGGUUUACUGACAGUGCUACAGUACAACAAAAAAUCUACAUGUCAUUUUUGCCUUAAAAAUAAUUUUUAAAAGUUUUGAAUUGGACAAAGUAACUUAGAUACUACAGUUUCAAAACUUGAUUGCCAUCUCCAGAUCUCCAGGCUAGGUAGUGUGAGGUUCUGGGAAAUGAGGCAGGAAUCCAAAAUAGAAUCACAUUCUGGAAGAGUAAAAAUGUGAGCUUGAAGUGCAAAAGCAUUCAUUGUGCUUUCUGAAGGCAUGAUGUAAACAGCAAUUGGGAAAACUGUGGCAUCAAAAAUUAGAGACUGAGGUGGGUGUAGCAGCCCCAUACUCUCCCUGUGGUACAUUUCCAGAAUUAAAAAACAGUUUCUUGAGGAUAUUGGUUCCUGUUACCAGAAUGUUACAGAAAUAGGGGCUAAAUUUAAGUAAAUCUUACACUUGUGACAACUCAGUGGCCUUAAACAUGAUUUGAGGCUUUGGGAGACAACCCAAAUUUUGUAGUGCAAUAGAGAGGAUAUCAGAAUAACAUUGGCUUAGCAUACUAGUGCAUAGCUAAAUGAGAAGAGGAAAGCAGAUGUCAACAAGAGGUGAGAGGUACUUUUGCACCUUUGCAUGAACAGAUAGGCCUACACAGAGUAGAUGUAUUUGAUCAGUAUUUUGCUUGAAUGUUAUUUAUUUCAUGUGGUUAAGACAGAAGAAAAGGAGUAAUCUGUGGGACAGUCUGACCUGGUUCUAGUCAGUCUACCACAUAUUCUUACCAGGAUAGCUGGGAACAAUAUCCAUUUGAAAUUGUGAGCUGUAGGAAUCCUUAUGCUAGUCUUUUGAAGAGGCUCCUCACUUGUUUGGGGAUCCAGCAAAAAAUGGCAACUUCAAAGUAGAGUUUGCUUUACUGUUUGUCCCAAGAAUAUGAAAAAUAUGAGGUCUUUAUAAAAAACACUUCUUGCUUUUCAUACAAAGGCUUUGAAUAGCUUCUUUGGUAUGUUUUACAAAAAUUAUUUGGUUUAACACUUAAAUUAUUUGUUUUCAGUUGUCUGUAAAAAGUGUACAAUGGCUACAGACUAUACAAAGGACACUUUUAUGAUGAAGAGAUGAAAGGAAGUGAAAAAUCUUGCAAGGGAAUUUUUUUUUUUUCUGGGAGCACUAUAAUGAGCGAAUCCUAAAAGAUAAAGAAAAUAAACAAAUACAUGUAAUUUAGAAUGUUAUCUAGAAUCUUUAGAUUUUAGUCAUAUAGAUUAACUAGUACACAAAGUUUUAUUCUACAGAUGCAUCUGCUUUAAAUUCUUGGACAUGAGUGAUGCCAGACAGUCAAAAUGUGGUCUGGUGCUGUACAUACAUAACAUUCUCUAACUUGUACUUCAUUAAAAGUGUUACUGACAAGCACGUUGGGUGUUGCCAGAAUUGAAGGACAUCUGGAAGACCGGGAUAAAGUGCAUAUGAAUGAAAAAGUUGGAAGAAAUUGCAAAUGUCUUUGAGACAGAAGUCACGCAAAGAUAAAUAGAAAGGAUGCCUGUAAAAGGGAAAGUGAAUUUAUGAAAAACAUAAAAUAAUUCACCUAAAGAACUUUGAAAUCAUAUGUUGAGAAAUGAAACAUGCAUUUUUUAUUUGAUUUUGAGAUGAGCCAGUCAUGUUUGUUGCUACUUGAGCUGGCUACAAUUUUAGUAGAACUUUUUGAUCUAUUUGCUGUCAAGUGGUCAUGAUUGCUGAAUUCCAUUUUACCUACAUAUUACAGCAUGAAAUUAUAAUACAUUGGAUGAAAGGAACAAAAAUAAGAUCAAAAAAAGAAUUUAUAUUGGAUUUCCAUGCAGUAUGCAGUAUGUUGAUGUACUGAAUACAAGGUCCAUGGGACUGUUUGGGUAAUUACAGUAACACUUAAUUUUAGGGUUUUCUGUUACUGCGGAAACCAAGAGAAAGGUCUGAGGAAGUGAGACUUAAGAUAAAUGAGAAGGACAAAGAAAACCAAAAGACCCUUGUGAAAAAGGAGUGAUUCUCUCUGUAGUGGGAAUGAACUGUUUUGUUUUUUGUGUAAGGGAAAGGUGUGUCCUUGUAAUGCUGAGGAGGUUUGAUAACCAGAGGCAUGUUACGGUGAUAGAACACAAAACAUUAGAAAAGGUAAAAAGAUAAGGAAUCACUGAAGGAAAUGGAGGCACACAGAGCUUUUACUCCUACACUGCCUGUGUGCACACACUCUUGUCCACUCACAUGCUCCCAGGAACAAGGAGGGAAAAGGAUACUGGGUCUCCCAAUAAGUUGCUCCUUUUUUUUUUCCUCCUACACUUUUAUUCAUGUGUAAUACAAAAUAUGAAGCUGGGGCAGGGGUAAAUAGCCCAUAUAACCCUUCUCCUCUCCACAGUUCUGGCCCAUCUUCUCCCAGUUGUCUUUCAGAUAGAUAAGCUAAUUUACAACUUAAUUAUUUUCUCUAAUUAAUACGUGCAGCACAGGAGAACGAAAAUCACUUAGUAUGGAAAAAUUAUGGUUUGUUUGGAUACGUGAACGUGCUAUUGUUGGUUAGCAAGUUCCAUACAUUCAAUUUCUAUCCAUUAGUGUGUUUUAGAUUGUGAAUUCAGAGGGAUUUGACUCAGUCCUUUGACCGGUGUUCAUUUAGUCAGCCUCUGUAUUCCCUUCUACAAGUUAUAAGCCUCAAGCCCAGCACACAUCUGCAUUUAGUGCCUUUAGCAAAGAGAUUUAAAGCCUCAAAAAUAUCAUUAUGUACAAGAGGCAUGCAGGGUGGGUGAGAUAAAAUAAUUGGUAGCAACAUUUCUCCAUUGGUGAGCAAAGGCCAACACAGCAGUUUAAACCCCAGAGCCCUUGGGCAGAACCCUAGAAAAUGUUCUGUUAUUAGCAAUGCCUUUUGGUAGGUGAAUAAAUGAACUCCUGAAUGGUCUUGAUGUAACUGCUCUGAGUGUAAACAUAUGUGAAAGGAGAGAAAGCAAUCAUACAAAAACCAUGAUGACUGGAAUUUGUUGUCAUUUCUUCUUUUAAAAUAUUUCCACUCAUUGAAUGCUGCUUUCUUGCAUGGUAGAGUGGAUCACAGGAAAUGCGUUAUUGAUUACGUUAUUGUAAAUGUUUACAGGACAGAGAUAUUUUGUGUUAUUACUUGUGCAGAAUCCAACAGUCGUGAGAUAAAAGGCUGAGUGGGAAUUUCACUUGAUGGAGCACAUCAGAUACUCUUCUGUUGUGGGCUGCCAGUAGUGCAGUGGAAAUGCCAAAAGGGGAGGUAUUAGGUGCAAAAUUCACAGCAACUGCAGCCUGCAUUUUUGGAACUGGACAACAUGAAUCAGACCUGGUGCAAGAGACGAGCCAAGCCUUCAGAAGCAGGUGCUGGAGAGUCCACAAUUUAUCAUCCUAACAUAUUCCAGAGAAAAUCACUGCAGAGUUGCACAUUUGUCAUGGCUUUCUUUUUUUUUUUAAAGAAGAAACUGUAAAAAGUUGCUUUUGCAUAUUCAAAAUGCCUUUGAAACCGUUUGUGCAAAGAAGGAAGUAACUGCAGAGAAUCAUUUCAGACACUUCAGUUUUCAGUGGAGAUGCAUAAAAUGCUGAGAGAAGGCUGAACUGGUGGUGGGGUGAGCAUUCUUUAGAAACAGUACAAAAUGACACUGAACCAUCAUGUUGAACAUGCAGGGGCUAACUGCAGAAACCUGCUGAGGUCAAUUAAAAUCUUGAUAUUAAUUUUCAUAGGUUUUAGAUUAACCUCAUCUUUAUUUUGUGGAAUUAUAUUAUGAUGGAUUUAUUUUAUCCUCAGGCUUACAAGCUUCUGUCUUCACACUUAUUGUUAAGACUUCCAAUAAUGCUGGUUUUAAUUUGGCGUUCAAGUUCUAUUCCUCCCUGUGACAAAUAUGUAUAUAAUACAGCUAAAAUCCAGGAAAUGGUUACCUGAAGAUGGUGUUCUAAAGAAGAAAUGGAUGCCUGAAGAAAUAUUCUAAAAUGCCGGUUUUUGUCUGAUGGAAAUAUGUUGUAGUUUGACUCUGAACUAUUUAAAUAAACAUCCUUUAUUAAAUAAAAAGUGGUUGGUUGGUGUGAUAGUCUGUAAUCUUUUUCUUAAAUGACCCAUCCAUGUUGAUCUUUCU